rnacentral:lncRNA from 1 species
UGCUUGGAAUAUGGCAAGCACUCAAUUAACUAAACUUCUUUUAACUCCUUCCCCUUUGUUCUCUACCUCAUCUUUUGUAACUCAUGUGUUCACUACUCACUGAGACCUUAAUUGCCUACAGAAAAACAACCAUAUAAGGAGCAUUAUUUUAAGAUAUUAUAGAUUUUUCUAUACCAUCCGCAUUCUUGUUACAAUAAUUUAAAACUUUUUAUCAAUGCAAAAAUUUCAGGGAGGCAGUAGGGGCACAUUUCAAAUCCCUGAUGACAUUAAACAGGGAGCAUAAUUUGAGUAAUCCAGAUUGAAUAUAUCCAAACAAUUUAGCUAUUCUUAACUCAUACUUGCUAUAUAUUUUUUUUCAUUUAAUCUACUUUGAAAAUAUUGUCAAGAAUUUAAAGAGAAUCUCUCCAAUGUCAGCUGUCUUUGUCAGUGUAACUGAAAAGCCUGGUUCCUGGGUCACCAGACCUAGAAUCACCAGAGGUAUGUAUUUAUGAACGAUACUGAUUCCUUAACCUUGCUCAUUCAGUUCUCUUCAAACAAGUAAAAAAAAAAAAAAACACAUGUUUUUAAUACAUUUCCUAAGUUAUUCUGCUCCCUGCUAUAGUUUAUAAACUAUCCUAACUAAGCCAGUGGUUCUCAAACAUACAUAUGUUUUUGGAACUUCCUGGGUCAGCUGCAUAUGAAUCAUUUGAAAAAGUAUUAACAAGAAACAGUUUCUGAUUCUCUGGGUCUGAGAUGGAAGCUAGAAUCUGUAUUUUUAAAAUCUCCCCAAAUAGUUCUGAUGUGUUAUCAGGUUUUGUCAUAACCACCUAUAAAAUGGAGUGUAUUCUGUAUUCUGUUCAACUGAAGCAAGCUAAUACCGUUAAUUCACCUGGAAUCUUCCUGGAUAUGCCAAUAAAGUGUUUCUCUACUUUAAGAGCCACGACAUUCUAUAUGCCUAGUUAUGUCAUGCAGCAGUGUGGUAUGGGCUAAUGCCUUGAUUUGGGGCACAGUAUUUUCAGUCUCCAAAUCUUCUUUUAAGUUGUGAUUGCUUCAUAGCAAUACUUUUCAGGCCUAGAGGCAUAAAUAGAUUGCUUGGAGAGGCUUUAAAAUUCUAGAUGUUCAAACCCCACCUCCAGAGAUCUGAUCUGAUUGAUUUGAAAUGGGACCCAGAGACCAAAAAUUGUAAAGACUCUUUAGGUGAUACUAAUGUGGGGCCAUUUCUGGAAACCACUAGUGCAUACAAAUGACUGCUCAAUUCUUGGCCUGGAGAAAUUAUUAGGAAAAGAAAAUUUUACACACCUUGAAAAAAGCAUCUCUCAUUCUCUUUAGGCUCUCAAUGCAUGUUUGUAUUUUACAACAUGAAAACUGAACUAUCCAAUUACUAAGAUCUUUUACAGCCAUAAAAUUUUAUGCUUCUGAUCUGCUGAUCUGCUAAUUCACUGGAUAUGUUUUAAAAUACCUCUUUUCCAUGUCCCAAAGUCCUUGCUUGAAGGAUGGAAAAGUCAUUUGCAAUUGACAUGCAAUGAGCCAACUGCAGUACGUGGCUUUUGGUGAUCACAGAUCUACAACUGAACCUGCCAUUCCCUAAUUGUAGACAAGUUACUUGACUCCUCUUAGCCUCAGAUUUUGCAUCCAUAAAGUAGAGGUACCAUAUUCCCAGUGUAGAUUUUUCUGUGAGGACAAAUUAAAUGACAUUUAAGUGAAUAGAUAAUGUGCUCCAUUAAAAUAAUUUACUAUAAUAAAAUAUCACUAUGAGGAAUAAAAACUACUUCCACAAUUUCAGUACUAAAACAGAAAAAUGUUAAGCAGAGAGCUUAUAAGAAUCAUUGCAAAUUUAAAUAAGCCAAAGGAAUAAUCUUCAGAAGAAGAGAAACAAAUAAAUAUAGUGUAGAAGCAUGCAUUCACAUCUUCUAUAAUUACUAAGUAAUGGAAGGGGUGUGAGGAGCUGGCAGUGGUAGCACAUAGGCAUUAUUUGCAUUACUAAACACAUACACCAUUUCUUAAAAUAAUUGGAACCCAAGUAGGCCUAAUUUCCCCUCACUGUUAUGAGCAAUCAGUAAAUUAACAGUCAAUUUAGUUUAUUAUUAGUUGGCAUAGCUCAUGUCACAGAAUGGAAUAGCAGGAAGAUUCUUAGAGGGAUUUUCUGGUAAGGACAGAGGGCCAGAAAUAUUCAACAACUUAACUUCAUCCACCACAUCAGCUCAGCCACAGCCAGUUAAUGACAUGUUAGGAAACAGAAUCAAGUCUUCAUCUACUUUUCCCAAAGUUAAAAAAAUUCUAAAAGUCGCUUUAAAAUGUUAGAGUAUAAAUUCAAUAAACAGGAAUGUAUUUGGUUAGUGGUGCAGAAAUAAAAUGAUUCCUAGCCAGACUGUGAUUAAGAUUGCUCUAAUUGCUAAUUGCAUAAUAAAUAAAAUUUUGACAUGAAUAAUCUCAACUGUUCAUUUGCACAAUUUCUAAAUUAUAGUUUAAUAAAACAAAAAAGUACCCUUAAAGGAAUUUUUUAUAUUUAUGUGUCAAAAAUGAAUAAUAUUCAAAAUAGUAUUUUUAAGUAGUUCCUAAUUGUCUUGCUUUAAAGAACAUUAGAAAUGUUUAUUUCAGAUACAACUUUAGAAAACUUCAAAAAUUAAAUUAUUUUUCUGAAUUUUCUGGCAACCAAAUUAUUAUUAGUUAUUGAAUUAGUUGUAUACAUAACAUAUGUUAAAUUAGUUGUAUAAAUAAUAAAUUAUUGAAUUAGUUGUAUACAUAACAUGUUAAAUUAGAGCUUGCUGGAAGUUUGAUGUGAAAAACAAAUAUAAAUUUUGUCUGAAAAAUUUUAAGAGUGGUUUUUUUUCAGAGGUAUGUUAACUAUGGUGACUCUUACUGCACAUGGCUGCAUUACAUUUUGAUUAAUGAAGGUGCAGGAGAUAGAAAAGCAAGCUCAUGGAUAUGGUACACAGACUAAAUUAACAACCCUGUAGUACUCAUUAUGCAAGAAAUAUGUGCCAGAGUUACAAGAGUGCCUCCCCUAUCUCAGAUUGGCCUCAUUAGCCACAUUCAUUCCCUCAGAUGAGACAAUCCUGAAGAUGCCAUCCUCCUCCAAGGCCCAUUUGCCAAAAGGGAGCUCACUAUCUGGUAGGACAGGAUAUGUGUCUUCACGGACUACCUUGAGAUAAGGCCUUCCACGCACUGGUUUUCUUCUUUAAGAGCUUUGAACAGACCGAGAAUAUCUGGUUCUAUGUAAAAGUAGGAGACGUCUCUUUUUUACAUAAUAGAUGGCCUAUCUCAAAUAUUUUACAUAUAAUUUUAAAACAAUGAAUCGAAGGACAAAGACUAUCACACUUGAGACGAGGAGUUUACUGACAAAAAAAAAUUAAUUUUGCUUUACAUUCAGUGAGAGCUCUUGUGCUGGAAGAUGUAGUGUUGGAAAUGGAAAUAGAAAAACAUAGUGAAAAUAAUGAUAUCGUUUUUUACUCUUAAAUAAAAAUGUAAAUCUCUAGAGCUAUCUGAUGGCAGUCUUAAAAAACGUGCACUUUUUCCCUUCUUUUUUUCCUUUUUUUUCUUUUUUUUUUUUAAUUUAAUGUUGGAUUUGGUAGGAGUCAGGGUUUAGUGGAGUAAUCAUGACAAUAUAAAAAUAACAUUUCCAUAAAUCAUACAUAAGAUGAAGGUAAAAAGGAAUGUUUGCUGGAGGGAAUGCAACUGGUCAGAAUUAUCGGAGUGAAAUUAUUGAGAAAAAUCAUCUUCAUUGGAAUAAUGUAGUUUAUUCAGAAUCUGAAACAACCUGUGUGUUUAUUAGAGAUUUUUAAAGGGAAAAAGUAAGGCGCUAACAAGUCUCAAUGUAGAUUCAAGUUCACAAAGCUGCAGAAAGUAGGAAAAGAGUAGUAAACGGAUUAGAACCCAAAUUACAGAUAGCACAACCUACUGCAUAAUUCGCUAGCUUUUUUUGGGCCACUGACUUCUCAUCUACCAACAGUGUGGUUGGACUUUACAUGAGAGUCACCUGAGAAGCUUUUGUUACAUCUUGAUUUCCUGAUUAGACACUCUGGUUUGGUUAGCCUGGCACAGACAUGAGCUGCCAUACACUCUUCUAGAAUUUUCCUUCUUUCCUUCUUGCUCUCUUCCAUGUGGCCACGUCUCUGCUCUGGGAGAUAUAAGAAAGAAGAGAAAAUAGUUACCAGGCAAUUUCUUUGGGAAUUCUAAUUAAACAGUUGCUAAAGGAAAAAAGUUGUAGUGGAGUUUUACAAAUGAAGAGUGGGGAUUUUACAUGUUUUCUCUUAUCUCAUUUCCUCAAGAACAUACAUACAGACACACAUAAGUCUAUACUUUUUCUACGUAGUUCAAGUGUAACUUUGAAUAAAACAAUGUAUACUCAAGUAAAGAAGGUCAAAACUCUCAUGGUGAAACAAAAUGUGCCAAUUCUAGCCAAUAUGUGAAUUGUUAAGGGUCAGUAAUCUAUAAACUAUUUGGGUGGUAAUUGUAUGUUUUAUUAAUGUAAUGUGAUUUUGCACUAUUGUACUGUCAUAUUUAAGCAGACUCUUAAAAAUACUCUGAAACCUAAAUGCCAAAUGUACAGUUUAUAGGUUCAUGUUAUUUCUGAUAAGGACUUAAUUGCAUUGUGCUAAUAGUUGUUUAAUGCUAUUAACUUUCUGUAUGUGUAUAAUUGCAAUGCAGACCCCAUAGGGUUGUUGUAAGCACACUAAUUAGUCAUCUGAAUUUUUAUAGAUAAAAUCACACAUUGAUCAGAAACCACUUUUCUACUUAUUUUUUUGUAGAGUAUUUUUCCACACUUGAAAAGACAUGAUUAUUUUAUAUCAAACAUCAGCUUUUCUUUAAAAUCUUAUUUUAGUAGCCAGUGCAUGUUUGAAAUAAAAUGUGUUAGAAAUUAUAUGAAGAUAUUAAGGUUGUGUUAUAUUAGGUUAAAAACUGCAUGCCAUUGGUGAAUCAUGCAACUUUGGGGGGGGCAUUUACACUGCCAACUCAUACAUAGGCUUCGUCUCAAUCUGUGUGCAUGAUUCAUGUCCUUUCGAAAAUUCUUUUUAAACUUGAGUAAAGUGAAAAUGUUAUUCUUAGUGCUAAUGAGCCAAUAGAAAAUGCUGCUUUGCUGUUUUCUUGGCAGCAUAAUGUGGUAAAAUCCUCCUACCCCCAAUUUUCUUCUUGGAGUCUCUUGUUGGCAAUAAAAUACAACAAAUAAAAUCAUUUGUUGACAAAUGAUACAAUUUACUGCAUAGCAAUUUACUAUGAUAAAAGCAUGAAGAUGUGAAAAAUAUCUUAAUCAGUUCCAUACUAUGAACACAAUAUUCUGGCAGCUUUUUCUACAAUCAAGAAUAGUAUGUUGUUGUUUUUUUUUUUACACUGCCAAAAUCAGUACUACUGCCAGGGAGGGGAAACAUUGAGGCCAGGUCUGCACAACAGUAAAUUGGACAAUAAAGUAGAACAUCCAGGCAGUGUGAACAGCCAAUCAGUGUACUUGGUAGAGAAGGGGGAAAAUAUUCUUCUUGGUAACUUGAGUGAUCAAGAAAAAAAAUGAUUGUGUAGAAAAUAUGAAUUUUGGCUGCAAAGACCAAGCCUCUACAUGCCAGUAAUUUGCAGUAGUCUUUGAGAACAGAAAUUAUUCCAUUCGGUGAAGCUUUGUUUACGUUUUUAUUUUUGUUUUGUGUUCUUUUUUCAGAAAAUACACUUGUGCUUUUGAAAGGGCUUAAUUCCAAACAUAAUGUAUGUGGACCAAUGACCACUUCCCAAAUGAAAUUAGUCAUUCAUCAUAAUAUAGUAAGGCUAGCACGUAGCACUCAGUGACUUAAAACAUCAAUAUAAGCAUUUAUACUGUUGGAAGGUAAUUUUAUUGCUAUGUUAUUGAAACAGGAGGGAUCCUAUUUAUACAUUUAUUUAUUUAUUUAUUUACAGAAAUUUGGUUCAUUCAAGUUCAGUUUUAACUGCUUCAGUGAAGUUUGUAGAACAGUAAGAAAAGUUGAGUCCAGCUACUCUUCCAAGUGAAAAGUCACGCUACUAAGUCUUGCUACAUCCUGGGGUAAAGCAUUAAUCCAAAUGUUGAGUAGCCAGUGCUGAUAGUGUGGAGGCCAACUUCACUGACCAGGAUGUUUUAGGUGUACGGCACUCAGCGAACAAUUGAUCUGGGCUCUUAGUUUGCUACUGUAUUGUUCCCUUCAUUGAUUCAAUUUGUAAAUAACAUAACAUGUUAUGGCAGCUAAGCAAAUAUUUUAAUAAGCCAUGCAAGGCAAAAUGCCAUGGGAGAUCUGUAUAUUCAGCUAUUUGAAAAACUUGUGUUUUCCACAAAUUAAACUGGAGAUGUCAUUUGAAAUUUCCUUCCCUUAAAAAUGCCAUCUUAACGUGGAUUUUUCUGGCCCACUGAUGUCUUUCUGGGUUUAUAAAUAUAUGGUGUGAUUGUAUAGUUAUAAUUCUUUGAAAUUUUGUUCUGCAAUUAAUAGUGACUUCAGCGAUCUGUGCUAAGAUCCCAAGGCAGAAAUAAAUGUAUAAAGGGUUUGA